UCGGGCCUAACACAUGCAAGUCGAACGGCAGCACGGACUUCGGUCUGGUGGCGAGUGGCGAACGGGUGAGUAAUACAUCGGAACGUGCCCAGUCGUGGGGGAUAACGUAGCGAAAGCUACGCUAAUACCGCAUACGAUCUAAGGAUGAAAGCGGGGGAUCGCAAGACCUCGCGCGAUUGGAGCGGCCGAUGGCAGAUUAGGUAGUUGGUGGGGUAAAGGCUCACCAAGCCGACGAUCUGUAGCUGGUCUGAGAGGACGACCAGCCACACUGGGACUGAGACACGGCCCAGACUCCUACGGGAGGCAGCAGUGGGGAAUUUUGGACAAUGGGCGCAAGCCUGAUCGAGCCAUUCCGCGUGCAGGAUGAAGGCCCUCGGGUUGUAAAGUGCUUUUGUACGGAACGAAAAGGCUCUGGUUAAUACCCGGGCUCAUGAC
rnacentral:rRNA from 1 species